ACCCCACUGCUAUCGGGAUAGGACUAAGACAUGCUAGUCGUGCGCCUUCCAGCUAUGUGGGAGGAGCGGCGUACAGCUCAGUAACACGUGGCUAACCUGCCCUUGGGACGAGAUCACCCCCGGGAAACUGGGGCUAAUCCUCGAUAGGUGAUGAACUCUGGAAUGAGUCUUCGCCCAAAUACCAUUUGGAUCAUGCUUCCAGGUGGUGCCCAAGGAUGGGGCCGCGACCGAUCAGGUUGUUGGUGAGGUAAUGGCCCACCAAGCCUAUAACCGGUGCGGGCCGUGAGAGCGGGAGCCCGGAGAUGGGCACUGAGACAAGGGCCCAGGUCCUACGGGGCGCAGCAGUCGCGAAAACUUUGCAAUACACGAAAGUGUGACAGGGUUAUCCCGAGUGCCGACCGCUGAGGUUGGCUUUUACCCAGUCUAGAAAGCUGGGGGAAUAAGGAGAGGGCAAGUCUGGUGUCAGCCGCCGCGGUAAUACCAGCUCUCCGAGUGGUGUGGACGUUUAUUGGGCCUAAAGCAUCCGUAGCUGGCUGAACAAGUCCCCUGUUAAACCCACCGAUUUAAUCGUUGGCGUGCGGGGGAUACUGCUCGGCUAGGGGACGAGAGAGGCAGACGGUAUUCCCGGGGUAGGGGUGAAAUCCUAUAAUCCCGAGAAGACCACCAGUGGCGAAGGCUGUCUGCUAGAACGCGCCCGACGGUGAGGGAUGAAAGCUGGGGGAGCGAACCGGAUUAGAUACCCGGGUAGUCCCAGCUGUAAACGAUGCAGACUAGGUGUUUGGACGGCCACGUGCCGUUCUAGUGCCGCAGGGAAGCUGUUAAGUCUGCCGCCUGGGGAGUACGAUCGCAAGAUUGAAACUUAAAGGAAU
rnacentral:rRNA from 1 species